GACGAACGCUGGCGGCGUGCUUAACACAUGCAAGUCGAACGGAAAGGCCCUGCUUUUGUGGGGUGCUCGAGUGGCGAACGGGUGAGUAACACGUGAGUAACCUGCCCUUGACUUUGUGAUAACUUCAGGAAACUGGGGCUAAUACCGGAUAGGAGCUCCUGCUGCAUGGUGGGGGUUGGAAAGUUUCGGCGGUUGGGGAUGGACUCGCGGCUUAUCAGCUUGUUGGUGGGGUAGUGGCUUACCAAGGCUUUGACGGGUAGCCGGCCUGAGAGGGUGACCGGCCACAUUGGGACUGAGAUACGGCCCAGCCUCCUACGUGAGGCAGCAGUGGGGAAUAUUGCACAAUGGGCGGAAGCCUGAUGCAGCAACGCCGCGUGCGGGAUGCCGGCCUUCGGGUUGUAAACCGCUUUCGCCUGUGACGAAGCGUGAGUGACGGUAAUGGGUAAAGAAGCACCGGCUAACUACGUG
rnacentral:rRNA from 1 species